rnacentral:rRNA from 1 species
UACCUACGGGAGGCAGCAGUGAGGAAUAUUGGUCAAUGGGCGGAAGCCUGAACCAGCCAAGUCGCGUGAGGGAUUAAGGCCCUGCGGGUCGUAAACCUCUUUUGCCGGGGAGCAGUGGUCCGGACGCGUCCGGACCGGGAGAGUACCCGGAGAAAAAGCAUCGGCUAACUCCGUGCCAGCAGCCGCGGUAAUACGGAGGAUGCGAGCGUUAUCCGGAUUUACUGCGUGUAAAGGGAGCGUAGACGGCAGGGCAAGUCUGGAGUGAAAGCCCGGGGCCCAACCCCGGGACUGCUUUGGAAACUGCC